rnacentral:rRNA from 1 species
AGUGAACGCUGGCGAUAGGCCUAACACAUGCAAGUCGAACGGCAGCACAGUAAGAGCUUGCUCUUACGGGUGGCGAGAGGCGGACGGGUGAGGAAUACAUCGGAAUCUACUUUUUCGUGGGGGAUAACGUAGGGAAACUUACGCUAAUACCGCAUACGACCUACGGGUGAAAGCAGGGGAUCUUCGGACCUUGCGCGAUUGAAUGAGCCGAUGUCGGAUUAGCUAGUUGGCGGGGUAAAGGCCCACCAAGGCGACGAUCCGUAGCUGGUCUGAGAGGAUGAUCAGCCACACUGGAACUGAGACACGGUCCAGACUCCUACGGGAGGCAGCAGUGGGGAAUAUUGGACAAUGGGCGCAAGCCUGAUCCAGCCAUACCGCGUGGGUGAAGAAGGCCUUCGGGUUGUAAAGCCCUUUUGUUGGGAAAGAAAAGCAGCAGGUUAAUACCCCGCUGUUCUGACGGUACCCAAAGAAUAAGCACCGGCUAACUUCGUG